rnacentral:tRNA from 1 species
GCACCAUUAGCUCAGUUGGUAGAGCAACUGACUCUUAAUCAGUAGGUCCAUGGUUCAAAUCCAUGAUGGUGUACCA